rnacentral:rRNA from 1 species
AGUGAACGCUGGCGGUAGGCCUAACACAUGCAAGUCGAACGGCAGCACAGUAAGAGCUUGCUCUUACGGGUGGCGAGUGGCGGACGGGUGAGGAAUACAUCGGAAUCUACUUUUUCGUGGGGGAUAACGUAGGGAAACUUACGCUAAUACCGCAUACGACCUACGGGUGAAAGCAGGGGAUCUUCGGACCUUGCGCGAUUGAAUGAGCCGAUGUCGGAUUAGCUAGUUGGCGGGGUAAAGGCCCACCAAGGCGACGAUCCGUAGCUGGUCUGAGAGGAUGAUCAGCCACAUGGGAACUGAGACACGGUCCAGACUCCUACGGGAGGCAGCAGUGGGGAAUAUUGGACAAUGGGCGCAAGCCUGAUCCAGCCAUACCGCGUGGGUGAAGAAGGCCUUCGGGUUGUAAAGCCCUUUUGUUGGGAAAGAAAAGCAGCAGGUUAAUACCCCGCUGUUCUGACGGUACCCAAAGAAUAAGCACCGGCUAACUUCGUG